rnacentral:rRNA from 1 species
UACGGAGGGUGCAAACGUUGCUCGGAAUCAUUGGGCGUAAAGCGCACGUAGGCGGCGCGUUAAGUCGGAUGUGAAAGCCCAGGGCUCAACCCUGGAAGUGCACUCGAUACUGCUCGGCUAGAGUCCCGGAGAGGAUGGUGGAACUCUCGGUGUAGAGGUGAAAUUCGUAGAUAUCGAGAAGAACACCGGUGGCGAAGGCGGCCAUCUGGACGGUGACUGACGCUGAGACGCGAAAGCGUGGGGAGCAAACAGG